GUCACUUCUUGGCCUUUUGUCUAAAAUCAAGUGUAGUGUCUGUUCAUAUCAGUUUAAUAUAUGGUACGUCCUCUAUCUCAGGACAUUAUAUUAAAUAGAUUUUUGGAGCUGGGAGAUAGAAUAGGAGCUUGCUCUGUCCACUCUGCGCAUCGACCCGGUAUUGGAGUGCUUAUGGGAAUGGUGCACACGCA